GACGAACCGUGCGAACGUUGUUCGGAAUCACUGGGCCUAAAGGGCGCGUAGGCGGGCUCACAAGUCAGGGGUGAAAUCCCACGGCUCAACCGUGGAAGUGCCUUUGAUACUGUGGGUCUUGAGGGAGGUAGGGGCGUGCGGAACUUCCGGUGGAGCGGUGAAAUGCGUAGAUAUCGUAAGGAACACCUGUGGCGAAAGCGGCUUACUGGGUCUUUUCUGACGCUGAUGCACGAAAGCUAGGGGAGCAAACGGG
rnacentral:rRNA from 1 species